AACACCGCCACCCAGGUUCACGAUCCGAAAAAAUCAUGACCAUGGUGUGAAUCCCUUCCAGCGCCCAAGCCAAGCUCGUUAGCACGAAAUGUCUCAAUUGCCACCACCCAAAUUCUCCGCAGUAUUUUUCCAGCAUUUGAUCCAUCGUUACUUUCUUUGGUUUUGAAUAUCCGUCCGCCGCCGGCGGAAUAAGCGGUGACCGGAGGUCACCACCAUCACAUUUGAUCCAUCGUUACUUUCUUCGGUUUUGAAUAUCCGUCCGCCGCCGGCGGAAUAAGCGGUGACCGGAGGUCACCACCAUCUUGUUGAUUUGUUGAUAAAGCUGAUGAUUUUGACAUUUUUGUAGAUGAUUUAUUUCUUCUCUCGCCGGGGAUUCUCUACGAGGUUGGCGGCUAUAGAUACAGGAUAUUCUUCAGUUCCAGA
rnacentral:lncRNA from 1 species